UACGUAGGGUGCAAGCGUUAAUCGGAAUUACUGGGCGUAAAGCGCACGCAGGCGGUUUGUCAAGUCGGAUGUGAAAUCCCCGGGCUCAACCUCGGAACUGCAUUUGAAACUGGCAAACUAGAGUACUGUAGAGGGGGGUAGAAUUUCAGGUGUAGCGGUGAAAUGCGUAGAUAUCUGGGAGAAGGCCGGAGGCGAAGGCGGCUGUCUGGGGUACUUCUGACACUGAGGCACGAAAGCGUGGGGAGCAAACAGG
rnacentral:rRNA from 1 species